CAGUAGCCGCGGUAAUACGAAGGGUGCAAGCGUUACUCGGAAUUACUGGGCGUAAAGCGUGCGUAGGUGGUGGUUUAAGUCCGUUGUGAAAGCCCUGGGCUCAACCUGGGAAUUGCAGUGGAUACUGAAUCACUAGAGUGUGGUAGAGGAUAGUGGAAUUUCCGGUGUAGCAGUGAAAUGCGUAGAGAUUGGAAGGAACAUCUGUGGCGAAGGCGACUAUCUGGGCCAACACUGACACUGAGGCACGAAAGCGUGGGGAGCAAACAGGAUUAGAUACCCCUGUAGUCCCUGUCUCUUAUAA
rnacentral:rRNA from 1 species